GCGAGGAUGGCGGAACUGGUAGACGCACUAGCUUGAGGGGCUAGCGCCGCAAGGCAUGUGGGUUCAAGUCCCACUUCUCGCA
rnacentral:tRNA from 1 species